GCCAACUUAGCUCAGCUGGUAGAGCAUCUCAUUCGUAAUGAGAGGGUCGAGGGUUCGAUUCCCCCAGUUGGCU
rnacentral:tRNA from 1 species